rnacentral:lncRNA from 1 species
GGUUGCUACAUAAGCUGCCCAAUUGAACACCAUCCCUUCAAACAUCCCUACCACUGCAAACAUUAACCGUCUUGACAUAUAUGUAUUGUAUUGAUACAACCCUAGACGCCUCAGUACAAAGUGCAAUCAUUCUAUGAGCUCUGAUAUAAUUGCCUCAACCGUCCGCCAAUCUUGAUUCUUUUCAAAUAAUGACAUGCCACCUUUCAAAUAACUUCCUGGUCGGAAGUCACUGGACUCCUCAACAUCCACUGCAAUCUCUCCAACUGGAAGAAACAAUACUUUUUUGAGGAUCUUCUCAUCAAUACCGAUAACGUGUCCUUGUACUAUGCUCAAUCCAUUCUGUGGGUCAUAGUUUGCGAUGUAUUCUUCCACUAAUGCCAUAUUAAUUGAAGGCAAACUAUCUGACCUUUGCAAAAACUGAAACAUUUGCGCAUUUCAAAAAUCUCAUAUUCUCCUUGGCGUCCAGGAAAUCUCCAACUUCAUAGGCUCCACAUUGGUAAUGGUUACUACAGAUGGUGGUCCUAAAUUGCAUUUAGCUUUCACAUUUCGGCCACUUUCCUCUCUGUCCAUAGCUCUCUUUAUACUCUUAAUCUCCAUGACGCACACUCUUUCAAGCUCUAACCGUCAAUACUAUGCUCCAGUACUCUGAAACACCCGAAAUUGUAACACUGAAAAGAAACAAUAACAGAAUGCGACACCUAAGAAUGACUGUAAAUGGGUGCCUUACUCCUAUUCUUUUACGUAGUAGUUAUAACGACAACAUGUUAUCCCUACUGUCCGUUUCUCAUCUCCGUCCCAUCUGACACAUUAGUAAUUACUAACUAUCAUUUCAGCCGCCUCUACAUCCUAUCGCACUUAAUUAGGUCUAUCUUAAGUACAUUCGACAUGACCUCCUCCAGAAAUUGAAAAUCCAUCCUGGAUUUUAUGUAUGAUAUAACCAUAAUCGGUUCCAAUUAAUACGAGUACUGAAUCGAUGACCCAUGAAAUCCUCUAAUUGAACACACCCAUUGAAAAAUCCUUCAAUCACACGAUAUGGCCCAUGCCAGUGAACUUGAAAUUUGCCCGAAAAAUGAUUAAACCUGCUAUCAUACAACAAUACCAAAUCAUUGGGCAUAAAAUUCUUCAGACGCAGUUUACUAUC